rnacentral:rRNA from 1 species
CCUACGGGUGGCAGCAGUGGGGAAUAUUGCACAAUGGGGGAAACCCUGAUGCAGCGACGCCGCGUGAAGGAAGAAGUAUUUCGGUAUGUAAACUUCUAUCAGCAGGGAAGAAAAUGACGGUACCUGACUAAGAAGCUCUGGCUAACUACGUGCCAGCAGCCGCGGUAAUACGUAGGGGGCAAGCGUUAUCCGGAUUUACUGGGUGUAAAGGGAGCGUAGGCGGUGCAGCAAGUCAGAAGUGAAAGCCCGGGGCUCAACCCCGGGAUUGCUUUUGAAACUGUUAAACUAGAUUGCAGGAGAGGUAAGUGGAAUUCGUGGUGUAGCGGUGAAAUGCGUAGAUAUUACGAAGAACACCAAUGGCGAAGGCAGCUUACUGGACUGUAAAUGACGCUGAGGCUCGAAAGCGUGGGGAGCAAACAGGAUUAGAUACCCCUGUAGUC